rnacentral:rRNA from 1 species
GACGAACGCUGGCGGCGUGCUUAACACAUGCAAGUCGAACGAAGUGGCGAACGGGUGAGUAAUACGUGGGAACCCUGCCGUCAUUUGUGGGAUAAGCCGUGGAAACGGGGUCUAAUACGGAAUAAAGGGGGAUGGGCUCGGGGCCUAUCGGCUGGUGGGUGGGGUGAUGGCUGACCAAGGCGGUGACGGGUAGCCGGCCUGAGAGGCUGACCGGCCACAGUGGGACGGAGAUACGGCCCAGACGACUACGGGAGGGAGCAGUGGGGGAUAUUGGACAAUGGGCGAAAGGCUGAUGCAGCGACGCCGCGUGGGGGAUGAAGGCUGUCGGGUUGUAAACCUCUUUCGCUACCGAACGGGUAGGUGGAGAAGAAGCGCCGGCUAACUACGUGCCAGCAGCCGCGGUAAUAC